AAGACCCAAGUGCUGAA
rnacentral:misc_RNA from 1 species